GGGCGGGUGGCGGAACGGCAGACGCGCACGGUUCAGGUCCGUGUGUCCGAAAGGACGUGAGGGUUCAAAUCCCUCCUCGCCCAC
rnacentral:tRNA from 15 species